CGGAGAUUGGUGCUGAAACAUUCAUGGAGUGAAAAAAAAGAUAAAAAAAUUGAAGGCAGCAAAAGAGAUUCUACUUCCCAUAAAAUGAAUGUGAUAAUUGGAAAGGGCCUGCAGUUGAAAUUGGAAAGUUGGAAAGGAUUAUUGUGGAAUGGACAAGAAGUUGUUGUUUUACUGCUUUAAUUGCAAAAUUUGUUUCA